CACAUUUACCAGUGAGUGAAGUUUGAAAUUAUCAUCUUGGAUGAUAGCAAUGAUAUUCAACCAUUUUGAAGAGCUUGCAACCAACAUGACGUCAUAAAUUAGCGGACAUAUUCACACUCAUUUACAUAUCAAAUAAAUUGAAAUAUCUCGGUAACAAACCAUAAAAACAAGAAACUGAAAAAUAAGUUACACUACAGCUUAAAGAGUUCUUUCAUUUAAGAAAAUAAGAAAUUUCAUGUCAUAUGCACUUUAAAUAAACGGAAUAUUUUGCAUUUCUGUAAGAAUUAAUAUAUAUCAAGACUUGAUAUCACUCAUCCGGUUCGGUUUGAUAGGGAUGCAGCAACUAGCUGAAAAAUACAAGGAGAACACAGUUCGACGUUUCGAGCGAAGUCAUUAAUUAACAAUUAUUCGCCGAAGGCGAGGUGAUUAUCGGUGAAUAAAAACCGAGACGAAGUCGAGGUUUUUAUUCACGAUAAUCACCGAGCCUGAGGUGAAUAAUUGUUUUAGUAUAAUUUCAUAGGUGAUUAUUUGGAAACAAAUUUUAAAAUGCACAUUUCUUCGUCAUUUAAUUGACAAAACGGCUUCGACCGCCAUUUUGAAAAUCGCUUAGGUGAUUAUCGCGUAAUAAUCACCUCAACGAC